rnacentral:rRNA from 1 species
UACGUAGGGUGCAAGCGUUAAUCGGAAUUACUGGGCGUAAAGCGUGCGCAGGCGGUUAUGCAAGACAGAUGUGAAAUCCCCGGGCUCAACCUGGGAACUGCAUUUGUGACUGUAUAGCUAGAGUACGGUAGAGGGGGAUGGAAUUCCGCGUGUAGCAGUGAAAUGCGUAGAGAUGCGGAGGAACACCGAUGGCGAAGGCAGCCCCCUGGGCCAACACUGACGCUCAGGCACGAAAGCGUGGGGAGCAAACAGG